rnacentral:rRNA from 1 species
GAUAAACGCUGGCGGCGUGCUUCAGGCAUGCAAGUCGAACGGAUGGUCUACCUUCGGGUAGGCGUUAGUGGCGGACGGGUGAGUAACACGUAAGUAACCCUGCCCAGAAGUGGGGAAUAACUGACCGAAAGGUUGGCUAAUACCGCAUAUGAUGGUCCUUCUCUGGAGGGGCUCGUCAAAGGCUUAGGCCGCUUUUGGUAGGGGCGUUGCGGGCCCGA